rnacentral:misc_RNA from 1 species
AAGUCGUAACAAGGUUUCCGUAGGUGAACCUGCGGAAGGAUCAUUAACACGUAUCCAACGUUUAACCACACCACCGCGGAACAACCUCACAAAAAAACCCUACCAAUGCGCCGGAUCCUAGCGGGUCGGAAACCCCGAACAACUGUCAGCAAUGGAUAUCUUGGCUCUC